CCUACGGGAGGCAGCAGUGGGGAAUAUUGGACAAUGGGGGGAACCCUGAUCCAGCCAUGCCGCGUGUGUGAAGAAGGCCCUCGGGUUGUAAAGCACUUUCAGUGAGGAAGAACGCCUGGUGGUUAAUACCCAUCAGGAAAGACAUCACUCACAGAAGAAGCACCGGCUAACUCCGUGCCAGCAGCCGCGGUAAUACGGAGGGUGCGAGCGUUAAUCGGAAUUACUGGGCGUAAAGCGCGCGUAGGUGGCUUGAUAAGCCGGUUGUGAAAGCCCCGGGCUCAACCUGGGAACGGCAUCCGGAACUGUGAAGCUAGAGUGCAGGAGAGGAAGGUAGAAUUCCCGGUGUAGCGGUGAAAUGCGUAGAGAUCGGGAGGAAUACCAGUGGCGAAGGCGGCCUUCUGGACUGACACUGACACUGAGGUGCGAAAGCGUGGGUAGCAAACAGGAUUAGAUACCCUAGUAGUC
rnacentral:rRNA from 1 species